UAUCUCUCUCCAGAAAAGAACGCCUUAUCCUAAUCUCCUUUCCUCGUCUCAACCUGGUGGUGGCGAAGAACCAGAGGGCCACAGCCGCUGCCGGUGUCGUAGCCCGGGGUGUCGAGGGAGAGGCGACGGACUGGAGGAACCAGGCGAGCCGGUCGGCGGGUAACCGGAGCAGCAGCGCCAUCGUCUCCUCCCUUCGUCUUUCUUCUAGUUGGAGCGGGGUCGGCCAGCUGCCGCAUCCCCGUCGAGGAAGGGGCCACGGAGCUCACGCCGGAGAGUGGCCUAGUGCUUAGGUAAGGCUGCAGCCGCGCUGUCGUGUGGUCUGCUGACACCAAGGGCUGGUCCAUCGCCGGGGCGUGCAUCAGCAGCGACGCCUCCGAGAUUGGCCACCCGCCAUGGAUGUUCCUCUGGUCUGACCCUAGUGCCAUGGAACAAGUCAAGCACGCAUGGCAGCAGAUCGCUGCAGCCAUCCUUCUCACCUGGGAAGGAGGAGAUCCAUCAGCAGCCCAGGCUAGAUGAGAAGUUGCAUGGAGAGGGGGGUCAGAUAGUUUUCCACAAAGGUUAUUCAAGUUUCUCACACCUUUUUUUUCUUCCUAAAGUAGUAGAUAAUCUAAGUAGUAAUGCUAGGGACAGUUACCUAUUUUUGCUAGGACAAUUUCACACUUUUCUGUUUCGAGUUGCUUGGAUUGUUUGCUGUAAGUUUUUUAGAUUAUCAUCUCAGAUUUGAAUACGCAUGCAGACUGAGAAGAUACAUCUAUGAAGUAGUUCCGGAUGGCCUAUAACUGAUGCGAUGAUUGAUUUGCAUGGCUAUCAUCCCGAUCCUCCUCCCGUCGACGCGCUCCGUGCGAAGCACACCAUCGCCCCACCCUCCACCCUAAAGUAGAUGCUAGGGGAGUUGCUUGAUUUUUCUAGGACAAUUGCUUGGUUUUGCUAGGGUAGUUGCUUGUUUUUCUUGCUAGAACAAUUUUUGCAUUUUGUGUACUUUUGUAGUUGAGUUGUUUGGAUUUUUGCUAGAACAGAUGAGAAGUUACAUGGAGGAGGGGGGAUAAGAUAGUUGCCCACAAAGGUUAUUCAACUUACUCAUGUGUUUUUUUUUGCCUAAAAUAGACAAUCUAAGUAGUAGUGCCAGAGACAUCUGCUUGUUUCUGCUACAACAGUUUCCCACUUUUUGCGUUUCUUUGUAAUCGAAUUGCUUUGAUCUUCUGCUACAACAUACGAGAAGGUGGAUGAGAGGGGAGUUGCUUGGUUUUGCUAGGACAUUUUUUCAUAAAAGGUUAUUCAAGUUGCUCAUACAUUUUUUCCUCUGCCUAAAAUUGAUGGUAGGGGAGUUGCUUGGUUUUGCUAGGACAAUUGCUUGGUUUUGCUAGGGCAGUUGUUUGUUUUUUUGCUAGAACAAUUUUGCAUUUUUGUGUUUUUUAUAUUGAGUUACAAGCAAAAGGGCUGCUCAACCUGAUGUUUCACAGGGUGAAAUGCUGGAUCGACAUGAGGUACCCAUUGUUUUUUCAGAUUUUUUUGAUGAAACGGUGAAGAUGAAGAAGGAAAGCAACCGGAACGGGCGAAGAGAGGUGGAUAGGAAGUAAUUCUAAAAAAUACUGUAUUAGUAGAUUAAGUUGCAUCAGAAUAUAUAUGGAGCUGCUUAGUUCACAUCAACAGUUGCAUAAAAAUGCCUGGAACACAUUUUUUCUUUUUUAAUAGUUGUCCAUGAAUCACACUAAAGUUGCCUAUGUUAGAGAAUAUAUAUGUUGUCUCUACUUGUUGUUUUUGUGGUUC